UUCCGGUUGAUCCUGCCGGAGGCGACCGCUUUUGGAGUUCGAUUAAGCCAUGCGAGUAGAAAGAAAUUAGAUUCUUUGCGAACUGCUCAGUAACACGUGGAUAACCUGCCCUAUGCUCCGGAAUAACCUCGGGAAACUGAGAAUAAUACCGGAUAGAUCACAACGCCUGGAACGGUGUGUGGUUGAAAGAUUACGGCAUAGGAUGGGUCUGCGGCGUAUCAGGUUGUAGGGGGUGUAAAGGACCUCCUAGCCAUCGACGCGUACGGGUGUUGGGAGACAUAGCCCGGAGAUGGAUUCUGAGACACGAAUCCAGACCCUACGGGGUGCAGCAGGCGCGAAAACUUCACACUGCAGGAAACUGUGAUGAGGGAACUCCAAGUGCACGCACUUAGUGUGUGCUUUUUUCAACUAUUAAUCGGUUGAAGAAUAAGGGCUGGGAAAGACCGGUGCCAGCCGCCGCGGUAAUACCGGCAGCUCAAGCGGUCGUCGCUUUUAUUGGGCCUAAAACGUCCGUAGCCUGUUUGGUAAAUCUGUGGGUAAAUCAACCAGCUUAACUGGUUGAAUUCUGCAGAGACUGCCAGACUAGGGACCGGGAGAGGUGUGGGGUACUCUAGGGGUAGGGGUAAAAUCCUGUCAUCCUUAGAGGACCACCAGUUGCGAAGGCGCCACACUAGAACGGAUCCGACGGUCAGGGACGAAGCCUAGGGGCACGAACCGGAUUAGAUACCCGGGUAGUCCUAGGUGUAAACGCUGUGAACUUGGUGUCGGGAGUCCGCAAUGGGCCCCCGGUGCCGGAGUGAAGAUGUUAAGUUCACUGCCUGGGGAGUACGGUCGCAAGGCUGAAACUUAAAGGAAUUGGCGGGGGAGCACUGCAACGGGAGGAGCGUGCGGUUUAAUUGGAUUCAACGCCGGA
rnacentral:rRNA from 1 species